UUAUUUGAAACGGGGCACAACCCCUGAUACCGGGUUUAUCUAGAUAUACUAAACAAAGUGGGCCUAAAAGCAGCCACCUUCCAAAGAGCGUUAAAGCUUAACGUACCAAUGUCUACAAUUCCAUAAUUUUUACUUAACCCUUCAUUACUACUGAACUAUUUUAUACUCUAUAAAAGCUAUUAUGCUAGAACUAGUAACAAGAAAUUGCCUUUCUCCUCAAUGUAUGUUUGAACCAAAAUGGACUCUCCACUGGUAACUAACGCAAAUGUAAAUAUCAUAGUACCACACGACUAGAAAAUCCUAUGUUUACCCAACGUCAACCUUACACUAGAACAUUACAGGAAAGAUUAAAAGAGAAAGAAGGAACUCGGCAAAUUACAGUCCCGCCUGUUUACCAAAAACAUCGCCUCUUGCCUAAACAUAAGAGGUCCAGCCUGCCCAGUGACAUAGUUUAACGGCCGCGGUACCCUAACCGUGCGAAGGUAGCAUAAUCACUUGUUCUUUAAAUAGGGACUCGUAUCAACGGCAUCACGAGGGCUGUACUGUCUCCUUUCUCCAAUCAGUGAAACUGAUUUCCCCGUGAAGAAGCGAGGAUAAACCU
rnacentral:rRNA from 1 species